AAAUGAAUUGACGGGGGCCCGCACAAGCGGUGGAGCAUGUGGUUUAAUUCGACGCAACGCGAAGAACCUUACCUGGGCUUGAACUGCAGUGGACCGCGGUGGAGACAUCGCUUUUCGCAAGAACUGCUGCAGAGGUGCUGCAUGGCUGUCGUCAGCUCGUGUCGUGAGAUGUUGGGUUAAGUCCCGCAACGAGCGCAACCCUUACCCUUAGUUGCCAGCGAGUCAAGUCGGGAACUCUAGGGGGACCGCCCGGGUUAACCGGGAGGAAGGUGGGGAUGAUGUCAAGUCCUCAUGGCCCUUAUGUCCAGGGCUACACACGUGCUACAAUGGGCGAUACAAACCGUUGCAAAGCCGCGAGGUGGAGCUAAUCGGAGAAAGUCGUCCUCAGUUCGGAUUGCAGUCUGCAACUCGACUGCAUGAAGGUGGAAUCGCUAGUAAUCGUGUAUCAGAAUGAUACGGUGAAUACGUUCCCGGGCCUUGUACACACCGCCCGU
rnacentral:rRNA from 1 species